UGAUACCAUGUAGAGACUGGAUGGAGGAAAAAAGUAUCAUAUGUUUGUAAUAAAUAGACCAUUUUAUUCCGAAAUAAUUUACCGUAUGGUUGUGUCAACCAUAAUGCCUCAUGAAAAAAUGAUGUCUAUGAAAGAAAUGAAUUUGUCUAAAGAUUGGAUUUUUGUUGUUAAAUGAUUGGAGCACACUAUUAUAUUGCAAGUUUCUCUCUACGACAUAAUCAACGUUUUCUUUCCUUCUCUUCUAUGCUACAACAUCUUCUUGAGUUUAUGCUCAUUGGUGUUUUAAUACUUAUCUCUCCUUUGCAAAGUUUCUUAGUUGAGGCUAUAUAGUUCAUUGCAUUUGGUUUCCUACAAUUGUGGUAUUAUUCAUAUUGGAAGGUUUCUAUUUAUACUAUAUUACUAAAGGAUGUAGAAGAAGUGUACGUAGGUUGGUUUUUGUUUAAUCAAUUUUGUUGUGUUGGAAUCUGUAUUUGCAAAUAUUACUAGUAAUAACUUUCUUAUAUACACAAUAAUCAUAAUAAUUUUUCUUCAAUCCUUUUGCUAUAUACACAAGGAAAAUGAGUGGGGAAGGAAAAAAAAAACAAGUGCUUGUAUUUGCUAUAUUUUAGGGAAUAUGAAAUAGGAAUAGGAAUAAAAAUAGGAAGGUUUCUAUUUUUUCCAUGUUAGUUUAGUUAAAUUAUACUUUAUGAGAGUUGUCUAAUUGUUAGACUAACCAAGUUAUAUACUAUAUUUAGAUAUUUGCCAGCCUCCAUAUCUUUGCAAGUUUGUUUGUUUCUAGGAAACUUCUCAUUUUAAUGACCAUUAUACGUCAUGGUAGUUUCUUUAUUGGGAUGGUCCUCCCUACGAUGCCUUGCAUGGGAUGAUCUCAUGCUCUUGAAGUUUGACAACAAGUUUAAUCAUACUAUCCAUAUUUGAUGUACUUUGAUGUCAUGCUCUAGGAGCACUUAGAUGUGAUCAGGAGGGAGUUGGCAGAGUUCAUACUCUCGCACAUAUACUUUUCGUAGUAUAUGUGCUAUCUUGUUUUUUGGCUUCCCCGUUCAUGUAACUCAGUGUCGUUUUGUUGGCCGCCGCAUGUUGGAGAUUGAAAAUUUUUGUUCAGUGAAGGGUUCCAUCAAAUACUUUUGGGCAAUACCAUCGGCAUGAACCACAUAUACUGUAACGGUAUAUUGAGUGUUUAUAUGUGUCAUGCAAAGUCGGAGCGAGGGUUGAAGGAAGCAGGGCCGAGCGUUUCUGUAAUAUGUUAGCUACAUUUUGUAGUUUGACCUUUCACGUUUACACGGUCUUCCAAGAASAGCCURGAGAACCASGACGGGUAGCUACUUGGAAUAUCUAAAAGAUGAUUGUUGGGCCAUUUUUUGUUGGGUUAGUAGUUACUUGGUAUAGUUUGUUUAWGUACGGGAUUGAUGGACAUGAAAACCUUCGUUCAUGUAUAUAUAAUUUACUAUAUGUAUAUACUUUAUAUUUGUAGGUGGGUUGGUGUAUUAAUGGAUAUAUAUGUUCUUGUAUGUAAAA